UACGUAGGCAGCAAGCGUUGUUCGGAGUUACUGGGCGUAAAGGGCUCGUAGGCGGUUUGUCGCGUCGGGAGUGAAAACUCAGGGCUCAACCCUGAGCGUGCUUCCGAUACGGGCAGACUAGAGGUAUGCAGGGGAGAACGGAAUUCCUGGUGUAGCGGUGGAAUGCGCAGAUAUCAGGAGGAACACCGGUGGCGAAGGCGGUUCUCUGGGCAUUACCUGACGCUGAGGAGCGAAAGCAUGGGGAGCGAACAGG
rnacentral:rRNA from 1 species